GAGUUUGAUCCUGGCUCAGAGCGAACGCUGGCGGCAGGCCUAAUACAUGCAAGUCGAAGGUGAAGCCGGACUUCGGUCUGGUGGAAACUGGCGCACGGGUGAGUAACGCGUGGGAACCUGCCUCAAGGUACGGAAUAACCGCUGGAAAGGGGCGGCGAAUACCGUAUGUGCCCUUCGGGGGAAAGAUUUAUCGCCUUGAGAUGGUCCCGCGUCCGAUUAGCUUGUUGGUGGGGUAACGGCCUACCAAGGCUGCGAUCGGUAGCUGGUCUGAGAGGACGAUCAGCCACACUGGGACUGAGACACGGCCCAGACUCCUACGGGAGGCAGCAGUAGGGAAUAUUGGACAAUGGGCGCAAGCCUGAUCCAGGGGAGGCGGGCGUGAGUGAAGAAGGCCUUAGGGUUGUAAUACUCUUUCGGCGGGGACGAUGAUGACGGUACCCGCAGAAGAAGCCCCGGCUAACUCCGUGCCAGCAGCCGCGGUAAUACGGAGGGGGCUAGCGUUGCUCGGAAUUACUGGGCGUAAAGGGCGUGUAGGCGGGACAUGAAGUUAGGCGUGAAAGCCCCGGGCUCAACCCGGGAACUGCGCUUGAUACUGAUGACCUAGAGUCCGGGAGAGGGUGGUGGAA
rnacentral:rRNA from 1 species